CUGUUGAGCUGUGUAUGUCACGGUAUUCUGUAUGUAUCACUUAUCUUUAUUUUUUUAAAGAUAUGAUAGAGAGAAAAGCCAUUUAGCAAAUCAAGAACAAAAAUACAAUCUAUGUUUGAAGAGCUGCAGGGAGCUGGAGGAAAAUUGGCUCUUGUGAUGAAGCAUUAUUCAGUCCAUCACACAUGUGAACUCCAAUUUUGCCCCUGAGGGCUGCAAAAUCCAGUUGGCAACUGUAUGGAGAUUCAUAUGGAAAACUAUCCUGGCUCUUUCUUCUUAACUCUCUAUAGGACCAUCCAUUUUGUAUCUUGAGAACUGCUGCAGUUUCUCUUGGAAGUCAUAAUUUGGACAUGCAGAACUGCAUCUCAUAAAAUAAAACCAUAGCUCCCAGGAUAUGCUGCAGUGUCUGCAUACAGGGGAACUGUGAUUCACUUGGCUUUAUGGAGGACCUGGCAGCAGCCUCCCAGUGCCUUUGUGGAGGUUACUGAACAGGCAGAGCCAGGCUUCUUACAGGAAGCACAUGGCAGAAGGUUGAGAAGCAAUGGCUGUAAGGGGAAGAUGUUCUCCUCAUUAGUCUGGUUGAGUAAGAGUAUGGCCAGAGAGGUUGUAGAAGCUUCAUCUGUGGAGAUUAUCAAACACCAACUGGGUGAAGCUCUGAGCAGCGUGGUCUGACCCCUGCUUGGAGCAGGAGAUGGACUGCGCACUUCCCAGUCCUUUCCAGCCCUUAUCACGUUGUGAUGCAGGGAACAGGGAGCCCAGGCCAAAGCUAAAUAUGAAAUACCCUAAUUUCUGUUCCAAGGAGAUAAGAUGCUUUUAGUAUAUUUUUAAAUUAGCGUUUCUACAUUGAACAUUCUAUUUUAAAAUUCUUCUCGACUUACACCCUCCUUCCUUCACUUACUGUA